UUAAAAACACACAAAAAAAGAACAAUAUAGCAUCCUCAGCUGUACCAAAAAGUAAAACAGUUUGUGGUUUAUUAAACAUUAGUUCUCUCUUCUUAGUCCCUGUUGGUACACGAUUUAAUAAUUGAUCAACAUAUUACUAUUUGGAGCUGAGAGUUAGUAUGCUGUGGCUGUCACUUUCACUUUUGCAGAAAAGAAGGGCAGGGCUGUGAUCUGCGGGAUCCCUGGCACCCCUGCGAAACAUCAGCCAUCAUCGGCUGGGGCUUUUAAGGAGCUGUGCAGAAGAUGUCUGGUGUCGGAGUAUUGUUUCAUCACAAGUGCCAGCCUUGCUUCUCUGAUCAGCCCCAUGUCCUCUAAGGAUCAUCUCCAUCUGGACUCCAACUUUUCUCCUUUACCUUUGCCACAGCCUGCCUGCACUCAACCCUCCUCAGACCUUUGGCUCCUCAUCGCCCCCAGUAAUCAGUUCGUGACAAACCGUUCGAUUACUCCCCUCACACCCCGGAAUUGUGUUGUUUUUGUCAUUGUAAAUUAAACCACUGCACCGCAUCCAAACAUGUCUGUGUGUUCUGCUCCUGAAGUCCACCGAUAUUAUGUCAUAACAAUUACAGAGACCUGGUUACAGCAGGAUGACUGUCUGAUGCUCCUUUAGUUAGCAGAAUGAGUCUGACCUCUGUCACAAUCAAAGUACAUGCUGAAGAGGGGGAUUGGCAGAAAUCUUCCACACCAGGUUAUCUAGCAACUAUAGACCCAGACAGGGUUUUAAUUCAUUAGUCUAAUUCUUAGCUUUGUCCACCCUCAUUGGAAAACUCGAAAAACAGUUUUAUUUGCUGUUAUGCAUGGUCAACCUGCCCCUCUCUGAGUUUCCUGACUUUUUAUCUGAUUUAGUUCUCAGUUAAGAUAAAAUAAUUAUCAUGGAUAAUUUAACAUCCAUAUAGAUUCUGAAAAUGACAGCCUUAACAUGGCAUUUAAUCUACUAUUAGACUCAAUUGGCUUCUCUCAAUACUAAAGAGCCCACCCACCACUUUAAUCAAACUCUGGAUCAUCGUUAUCUUUUAUAAAUAAGACAUUCCAAAGGGCUCUGAUAUUAGAGCACAGGAUAAUUAGUAAUGUGCUCAUGGUUUUCUGAUGUUAAUUGGCAUUCACUCAUGAUCCCUAAUGUGGAUAGCCAGGUUUCCGUAACUUUUUAAUUGGGAUCAUACCUGGGUUGUAGGUGCCAUGAUGGUCUUCAUCUUUCUCCCUUGUACUCCACCCUUUUUGGCAUAGACCUUGAUAGACAAAACUUAGUUUGGCUAAAAAUAACAAUACUUUCAUAACUGAGAUUUACAUAGCAGCUUUUGAGAAACCCCAGGAAACUUAAAGCAGCAAGACAACAAAAAUAAUUUACUAAGGACCUUGACAUGACUGUUCAGUAUACAUUUGAUAUCACUUAAGUCUGUUCAAGACAUUUGAAUGCAUAGUCCAUUAGUUUCUUGUAUAUUAGGUUCCUGAAUUCAUAUAUUGCCAUUUGUAGCUGGAAGCAAAAUAUUGAUGUCUUUUUUGAUCCAUUCACUUACCUAACGCACAUGGAAUAGAGUUGGCCACCUCAUUUUGAAAUCAGCCAUCAACGGUGUUUCAUGUACUACCUAUUGACUUCUGAGACCAAAGCUCGCGUCCAUCAUUGCUGCCACCCUGGGGUCAUUGUUGUUCCUUAACUCUCUGAUCUCUUCUAACA